UGAGAGUGUCAGGGGAGCCGCAAUCAAAGCUUUUCUUGGAUGGACUUGGUUGAAUAUGGACUAUACAGAUUAUAAAUACAUGCUUAAUAUUGAACACUCUCCUCAAACUCAGUAACUACUACCUUCGAGAACGUGACAGUCCAAAAAACAGAAUUCUUGGAAGCAUUCUGGAGAAAAUUGAAAAAUAGUCACCCUUCACAUCGAAGGGGUGUCAGCUAUCACCCUUUUGAUGGGAAGGAAAGAGAUCACACCAUUUCUGCCCCUAUGGUCCUGGUGAUGAGGAUAGGAUGGCUGAAGCAACUGACUCACCUACCGAUGAGGUCCUGGGACAGCUGGCAAAAAGUUGGCAAAGAAAGAAUCCUCUACAAGACCUUCAGAGGGCUCCAUCACCCGGGAGAACAACAAGAAUUCCAAAUUGGGCAAUAUGUGAGAUUUGAUGUAUAUUUGUUUGUAAUUAAAACAGUAGACUGACCUCAAGAGGGUCAUCAAUGCAACUAACAACGACCUAAAGGAGAAACAUCAGAUCCUGCAUGCUUAGGCAAUGUCAUGGUAUAAAUUGGUGGAAAGUUUUGUUCAGCUUUAAACUUACAAGAAAACUUCAAGUAAAGAUAGAUAAGCUGUGCCUCUAUUCAUUGGUUAAAACCUGGGGAAUUAUUCAACAAAAGAUGUCAAUUGUACU
rnacentral:lncRNA from 1 species